rnacentral:rRNA from 1 species
GACAGAGGGUGCAAACGUUGCUCGGAAUCACUGGGCGUAAAGGGCGUGUAGGCGGGAAGUAAAGUCAGAUGUGAAAUCCCUGGGCUCAACCCAGGAACUGCAUUUGAAACUCACUUUCUUGAGUACCGGAGAGGAAGGUGGAAUACCUGGUGUAGAGGUGAAAUUCGUAGAUAUCAGGUGGAACACCAGUGGCGAAGGCGGCCUUCUGGACGGUAACUGACGCUGGAGACGCGAAAGCGUGGGGAGCAAACAGG